UACGGGGGGGGCAAGCGUUGUUCGGAAUUACUGGGCGUAAAGGGCUCGUAGGCGGCCAACUAAGUCGGAUGUGAAAUCCCCAGGCUCAACCUGGGAACUGCAUCCGAUACUGGAUGGCUUGAAUCCGGGAGAGGGAUGCAGAAUUCCAGGUGUAGCGGUGAAAUGCGUAGAUAUCUGGAGGAAUACCGGUAGCGAAGGCGGCAUCCUGGACCGGCAUUGACGCUGAUGAGCGAAAGCUAGGGGAGCAAACGGG
rnacentral:rRNA from 1 species